GCGCGCACGGUACGCGCUGUUGUAGUUUCCACUUCACCGAAAAAUCUGCCUGGCGACUGAGCAUGCCCAGUUCAACUAGUAAACCCCGCAAGCCACGGGAUCCUGGAGUUUCAUUGUUUUGUUGCUCCCUAUUUGGAUUGUUAUCAGUAGGAAGUGUGGGCCUUCGUAAGAAGGAAAAAGAGUAAGGAUGGACACAUUAACUUUAUAAGGAGGGGUCUUGGUGAAAAACCUUGAAGCUACUGCACAGCCCUAAUAAAUAUUCAUUGGAAGGACUGAUGCUGAAGCUGAAGCUCCAACACUUGGGCCACCUGAUGUGAAGAGCCAACUCAUUGGAAAAGACCCUGAUGCUGGGAAGGAUUAAAGGGAGAAGGAGAAGGGGAUGACAGAGGAUGAGAUGGUUCAAUGGCAUCACUGACUCAAUGGACAUGAGUUUGAGCAAACUCCGGGAGAUGGUGAAGGACAGGGAAGCCUGGCCUGCUGCAGUCCAUGGGGUCGCAAAGAGCUGGGCACAGCUGAGUGAGUGAACAAUCUUAGCCCUAAUGAAUCUUGUGGUUCUGGGGGCUCCAGCAAUUUCUUCCUCUGGAGGAAAGAUGCUUCAUCUUCAAGUCUUGGAAACAAAAUUUGAAAGGGAGGGGUCACCUCCUUUUUCUGUCCUUCCUUCCCUCUUUCAGGCAGGCACAGGCAGGUUUUGCUCGAAGUAAUGGCAGCUGUGGAGAAAUCAGAAGCAGAAUCAUAUUUUGUUGCUCCUGACAGAUCUCUAAUUCCUGGAUAAGUUACUGUUCUUCAGUAAAUAGGCCAAAGAAUUCCAGAAGUAAAUGAACAAGAGGUGGCAAAAGAGUACUCCUUUGUUGGUGGUGGUGGUAUUGUUAUCAGUCAGGUCUCUAAUUGGACUGAGUGCUUUUUUUUGAAGAGACCACAGUUUUUACAAAGUAACUAGAACAGUCCAUAGCUUCCCAGGUGAUGCAGUGGUAAAGAACCCGCCUGCCAAUGCAGGAGGUGCAAGAGACUCAAGCUCCAUCCCCUGGAGUAGGAAAGGGCAACCUGCUCCAAUAUUCUUGCCUGGAAAAUUCCAUGGACAGAGGAGCCUGGUGGGCAACAGUUCCUGGGUCACAAAGAGUUGGAGUUCUUUGUGACAUCUGUGGGGUUCCAUCACUCUAACCCCAGUUUACUGAAUCAGAAUCUUUUAUGGCUGGAUUUGGGAACGUACGUUUCAAACAAGCUUCUUGUAUUGUUUUUUAUACUAGAAUUUGAGAAUUCUAGUCUGGGCCUGAAUGCUGGUACUUAGACUGUAUAUCUGUGAAAGCCUCUAAAAUUAACACACUUCCAAAGUAGGACCUGCAUUCUGUGGGCGAAACUUUCCCUGCCAGACCUCAUCUUGUGCUCGGGCUUCAUCCCUGCUCAGUUCCAGUUUUGCCAGGCACUACCUACCUUCUUCUCUAGUUGCAAGGAGAGUAAAAACGUCCCACCUUGAGAUCUUAGAAAAGCAUCUCAUCCCAGCUUCCCAGGCAGCUCCUCAGCCUCUGGCAAGGUUAAAUUCCAUGGCCUCGCACCCUCAAAGGGUACCCAACCUUAGCAAAACCCCACAAGCCAUGCCUCCAAGGCUCUAUUAUUUCAGCAUCUGGACAAGCACACCUUGUAACUGCAUUAACGAGGAGGCCCAGGGUGUUCUGUGAUCUUUCAACAGUAACCCCCUUUUUGUUUUCCCAGCCUUCAACAAAUGUGGUUUACACAGUUUUCCCAACCUCCCCCCACCCCCCAGUCCUUUUCAGGUUCAAUCUCUGUGUUAUUUACCUCUCCUCCUCCUCCUUGCUGCUGCUUAAACUCACAGGAGUGUAAUUAAUUUGCUCUUUGUAGUUCUCCAAAGACUAUUUGGGCAGAAAUUAGCCAUGCUCUGUAACUAGAACCAGGGAUUGGGCUGCAUUUGUUCAGCCGUCCCUUUCGGCUUGGAUUGUCCACGUGUCCUGUGCCAGAAGCCAGCCAAGUUCAAGGUGGUGAAAGUGGGGAAUCCCAAGGUUCAAGGCAAGGACACAGUCAAGUCAGGACACAUCCUAUCCCUUUAAGGCAGAAGCCACAGCCUGCCAGGUGCCCAAGGCCAGCUAGGGGUUGUUGUCAGGCUCCCAGGCAGAGUUGUACUUUUUUUUUUAAUUGGUGUCU
ensembl:lncRNA